rnacentral:rRNA from 1 species
GACGAACGCGGGCGGCGUGCUUAACACAUGCAAGUCGAACGGUGAAGGGAUCAGCUUGCUGGUUCUGGAUGAGUGGCGAACGGGUGAGUAACACGUGAGUAACCUGCCCCCUUCUUCUGGAUAACCGCAUGAAAGUGUGGCUAAUACGGGAUAUUCUGGGUCUGUCGCAUGGCGGGCCUGGGAAAGAUGCGCCUUUGGGUGUUUUUGGUGGGGGAUGGGCUCGCGGCCUAUCAGCUUGUUGGUGGGGUGAUGGCCUACCAAGGCGGUGACGGGUAGCCGGCCUGAGAGGGUGGACGGUCACACUGGGACUGAGACACGGCCCAGACUCCUACGGGAGGCAGCAGUGGGGAAUAUUGCACAAUGGGCGCAAGCCUGAUGCAGCGACGCCGCGUGAGGGAUGGAGGCCUUCGGGUUGUAAACCUCUUUCGCCAGUGAAGCAGGCCUGCUCCUUGUGGGUGGGUUGACG